rnacentral:rRNA from 1 species
AUGGCGGCGUUCACGGAGGAGGAGAGGGCGGUGGACGACGCGCUGGGCUACCCCAGGGCCUACGGCAGGCUGUGCCGCGCCGGCAGCGCGCUCGGUCUCCCCUACGCCCACGGCCCGCCCGGCGCCUUCCUCCCCUACGUCCUCCAGCCCCACGAGGCGCUGCUGGCCAAGGACCUGAACGAGACGUUCCCGGUGGUGGACGCGGAGGCGGCGCCCACCGCCAACCCGCGCGGCUUCCCCAACCUGCUCUGGAAGCAGCUCCACCACCUCGGCAACGCCGGCUUCGACCCGGCGCUCUUCCGGGUCGACACCUACGGGAACGUGCUCUACCUCCACGCCGACGCCGCCUCGCCCCUCGCCUGGGACGUCCACCACUGGUUCCCCUGCGGCCGGGGAGGGAAGACGGUUCCGGGCAACCUGCGGAUCAUGCAGCUGCAGGCGUCCAGGAAGAAGCACAACAAGCUGGAGUUCCUUGUCCCCUGGUGGGAUCUGCAGCUCGGCAUCUCCGUCGACCAGUUCCUCUCCAUCUUCGCCUCCAAGAACACCGACUUCAGCAACAGAGCAUUCACGUUCCUCUUCGCCGACGGGGCCAGCGAGGAGCUGAGCUCGCUGCAGGCGGUGGAGGCGCACGCGUUCCCGCACCAUUUCGCCGACAUGAAGAAGAAGGUGGGCCUCGCGCCCGCCGCCAUCGUAUCUGCCAGGGGCUCCGACAGUUCGGUGCUCAAAUCAGUUGACGCCAACAGACCAGUGAGGUCCAAUUACCCCCUGAUCGCUGCAAAGAAGUUCUCCGGCGAAAAGGACAAGAACUUGGCAGCCCACGGCGGCCAUGGUGGUAACUCGAUGAUGAAAGAGAACAACAACCCAGAUGUUGACGGCUACAUCAGCAAUCCUUACCUGUCCAUAGCCAUGGCUAGGGACUCGCUGAGGCAAAGAGAAGAGGCGAAGAAGAAGCAAGCUGAGCUCACUGAACUGGAGAAUGAGGCAACCGAGAUGCAGCAGAAGAAUGAGGAGGAGAGGGUAGCCAUCCAGGACCUGGAGGUUCAGCUGAUCAAGAGGAGUCGGCGAGUGGAGAAGUGCCGUCGCUUGGCAGAUGCCCAGGCCAACUACAAGACAGUGCUCGAGAAGAUGAUCAGAGACGCCAUGCACCAGAGUGUUGUGUACAAGGAACAACUCAGGCUGAAUCAGGCUGCAACCAGCACUCUGAUGGCGAGACUGGAGGCACAGAGAGCCAUGUGUCACUCAUCUGAAACCGAGCUCCGCAAGAAGUACCAGCACAGGGAUGAUCUGGAGAGGCAGGUGAAGCCUUUAAUUGAUCAAGCAAGGAAGAGGUACCAGGUUGACGAUGAAAUCCCAGAGGAAAGGCACUGUGAGAGUUUCAGGUACUAG